GGGGGCGAUUCGGGUUCGACGGGAACGGUUACGCUGGGUAAGCAGGCCGGAGAAGGAUACUCCGUAAAAAACCAAACAACAACAAUUCCCGAACGCGAAAUCGCUCUCGCUGCUUAAUUAACGCAGCGACGUCCUCCUAAGUUUGCCCGUGGACUUAGGAAGGGCGACAGACACACGGGAUAGGAAGAUGCUAACCGCCCUGUAGGCAUCUUCCGAACUUUUACAGGGCUUGCCUGUGGAUACCCUGCCUGUGGGGUCGCCACAGGUGAAAAUCAAACACAGGCUAAGCCUGUAGAAAGCCCAUGCAACGGCCGUUCUCGGACAGGGGUUCGAUUCCCCUCGCCUCCAUUA
rnacentral:tmRNA from 1 species